rnacentral:rRNA from 1 species
UACAGAGGGUGCGAGCGUUAAUCGGAAUUACUGGGCGUAAAGCGUGCGCAGGCGGUUUUGUAAGUCAGAUGUGAAAUCCCCGGGCUUAACCUGGGAACUGCGUUUGAAACUACAAGGCUAGAGUGUGGCAGAGGGGGGUGGAAUUCCACGUGUAGCAGUGAAAUGCGUAGAGAUGUGGAGGAACACCGAUGGCGAAGGCAGCCCCCUGGGUUAACACUGACGCUCAGGCACGAAAGCGUGGGGAGCAAACAGG